rnacentral:rRNA from 1 species
AGCGUACAGGUUUCCGUAGGUGACCUGCGGAAGGAUCAUUA